rnacentral:lncRNA from 1 species
AGAUAAAGCAGGGGUGGGUCUCAUGUGAAGAGCCUGUAGCAGUGAAGGUUGCUUCCUGAAGCUGAACUACAGUAAACAAAUCCAGUGGACACAGGAGUUUCUGGUAAGUGGGCAAGAACUUCUAACCCUCAUUCGUUUUCUCUUAAGAUUUCAUAGGAAUGAAGGCUUUCAGGAGUAUGCCCAGACAAUGGAAAUCCUCAGCUUGGAAGCUAGAGGGGCUUUGGUGGGAGCUGGGCAGAACUGGCUUUGCAUGGAUACAGCCUAUCAUUCAAGUUGAGGUAGAACUAAGGGAGAUGAGCUAUAUGUUAGG